AUUAAUAGUUUUGUAAUAAAUUGUCUAUUUUCAGAUUCUCUUCAAAAGCGGAAAAAGUGUUAUUUUGUUCUAAUGUACAACUUACAAAAAAUGAUGCUCAAUAGACGACCAAAAAGAUCUUUUAAGAAAUAUAUUUUUAAUCUAUUUCCAACUGCAUCAAAUAUAUAUUAUCAAGUACUUGUUAAUCUCUUUAAUCUAUAAUUGGUUAACAUUCAUUUGUACAUUACUGUACAGUGUUCAGCUUACAUGAACAGUAUACAAUGUACAAUGUACAUACAAGGUGUAGAAUAAAUUUUACCUCAGACUAAUAAGAAUACAAAUACCACAAUCCAAAAUAUGUACAGUGUCACUAAUCAACACAAAUUUAUUCUAUUUAGUCGGAUAAUAUCUCAACUAUGCCCUCAACACUGAAUAGGUAGUUUUUGCCACGGUAUCAAAUUUUCUAAUUAAUAAAUCUUUGAAACCUGAUGGUAUAAACCUUAAAUAUCUCAAACUUAGACUAUUUAAUUCAUAGUUUGAAAUGUGAAAGAUCUACGAGAUCGGGUUUAUUUGGAUUGAAAUAUCCUAGUUUAAUCUGAAGAAAAUGUUUACGGCUAUUUUACACCAUUGAUUUAAUUUGAAAAACAAGAGAUUUAUAGAAUUAAUAUUAAAAUGGGAUUAUCAUGGUAUUAUUGUCUAAAUCAGCUGCAUGACAAUUUUUAUAAAAAAUGUUCCAAAUAUAAAAGGGACUGUUGACCUAAUUCAAAGCUUACAAAGUAAUUGAGUCUUUGCCACAAACUCUUAUUUUUUAUUCCUAUAUCUUUCCCAACCAAAGUCUUAGACUUUCUAGGUAGUUCAAACUAUGAAUUCUGUUGGUUUGAAUAAUUUAAGAUUGAAAUGUCAAAGGUAUAUAGUAUCAGGUUGCAAAGAUAUAAGGAUAAAGAAAAUUUGAAUUUGUGGCAAAGGCUCAAUUCCAUUAAAGAGAUUCCCAGUUAGAUCACGUGUCACGAGUCUAGCUUGAAAAUAAUGAGUUUCAAGGCGCAGAGAAGAUGUAAGCUGUGAAACAACUGUAAACAAUACAUUUUUAUAUAAAGUUUAUUUUAGUAUUCAUUUAUUAUGUAGGUAAUAAAUGAUUUAAAUAAAUACUUCAAGUUUAAUUGUGCAUGUAUAAUGCAAUAGAGAACAUAAAAAGAAAAUAAGUUUUUGCCACAAACUCAAAUAUUUUCAUCCGUAAAUCAAUUUGCAACCCGAACUUCAAACUUAGGCUAUUUGAUCUAUCAGAGCUUUAAUAGUUUGAAAUAUCAGAGGUCUGCAAGAC